rnacentral:rRNA from 1 species
UACAGAGGGUGCAAGCGUUAAUCGGAAUGACUGGGCGUAAAGGGCGCGUAGGUGGUUGUAUAAGUUAGUUGUGAAAUCCCCGGGCUUAACCUGGGAACUGCAGCUAAUACUGUAUAACUAGAGUAGAGUAGAGGAAAGUAGAAUUUCCGGUGUAGCGGUGAAAUGCGUAGAUAUCGGAAGGAAUACCAGUGGCGAAGGCGCUUUCUGGACUCAUACUGACACUGAGGCGCGAAAGCGUGGGGGAGCAAACAGG